ACCUUCUGUUGCUUCGGCGGGCCCGUCCGUGAGGACCGCCGGGGGACCGUCACACGUCCUCUGGCCCGCGCCCGUCGGUGGCCGCUUAACCAAAUUCUUGAAUAAAUCGUGUUCUUGUCUGAGUUCAAAUCUUGAAUUACAAGUAAAAACUUUCAACAACGGAUCUCUUGGUUCUGGCAUCGAUGAAGAACGCAGCGAAAUGCGAUAAGUAAUGCGAAUUGCAGAAUUCUAGUGAGUCAUCGAAUCUUUGAACGCACAUUGCGCCCUUUGGUAUUCCGAAGGGCAUGCCUGUUCGAGCGUCAUUAUCACCCCUCAAGCCCCCGUGGUUUGGUGUUGGACGGUCGGCCUCUUCACCGAGGCCCCUCCCAAAGUUAAUGACGGCGGCCUGUCUGACCCCCGGUACACUGAGCUUCUUCAUUGAGCACGUACCGGUCCUUUUGUGGUUGGCAGCUCCCGGUCUCUGUGUUCCCGUCAUGGGACACCCCUUUUUUCAAGGUUGGCC
rnacentral:rRNA from 1 species